rnacentral:rRNA from 1 species
UACGUAGGGCGCAAGCGUUAUCCGGAAUUAUUGGGCGUAAAGAGCUCGUAGGCGGUUUGUCGCGUCUGCCGUGAAAGUCCGGGGCUCAACUCCGGAUCUGCGGUGGGUACGGGGCAGACUAGAGUGCUGUAGGGGAGACUGGAAUUCCUGGUGUAGCGGUGAAAUGCGCAGAUAUCAGGAGGAACACCGGUGGCGAAGGCGGGUCUCUGGGCAGUAACUGACGCUGAGGAGCGAAAGCGUGGGGAGCGAACAGG